rnacentral:rRNA from 1 species
GACGAACGCUGGCGGCGUGCCUAAUACAUGCAAGUAGAACGCAGUUGCGAAAGGGUGAGUAACGCGUAGGUAACUGCCUCAUAGCGGGGGAUAACUAUGGGAAACGAUAGCUAAUACCGCAUACUGUGAGAUGGACCUGCGUUGUAUUAGCUAGUUGGUGGGGUAAAGGCUCACGAAGGCGACGAUACAUAGCCGCCCUGAGAGGGUGAGCGGCCACACUGGGACUGAGACACGGCCCAGACUCCUCCGGGAGGCAGCAGUAGGGAGUCUUCGGCAAUGGACGAAAGUCUGACCGAGCAACGCCGCGUGAGUGACGACGGUUUUCGGAUCGUAAAGCUCUGUUGUUAGAGACGCGGUACCUAACCAGAAAGGGACGGCUAACUACGUGCCAGCAGCCGCGGUAAUUC